GUCGAGUGUCGUCGCUUGCAGCGCACGGAACAGCAAUAACAGCUGUACUGUUCUUCCUAACCUUAUUCGUGUGGACACUUGGUCAAUUUUUCCUGUGACAUUUGUAAUUUCGGAAUAUUCGUAAACGUUAAUUGAUUUGUGUUGAAUUAGAAUCGACUAAAUAGACAGCCAUGGUAAAAUUCAACGUACGAUGGAAGACCGCCGAGGACUUAAGUCGCCUGCGAGGAACUAGCGCUUUCACAAAGAUUAAAUUUUUUUGGCGCAAAGGGUGGACGGAAAUCCCAAUAAUAAUGGCAGGCACAAUUGUUUCGUCAUUGUCACUUCUCAGUGUCGCUUACAUGAUACAUUAUUACAACACGCACGAUAUGACUCCGAAAUAUUACAAAUUGCCGAGAAUUUACAGACCGGAUGAUCCUGCAGUUCAGAAGAUUAAGCGUAUCUCAAUAUUUGAUCAAUGAAUCUUAAAGAAUUAUGAUAGCACUAUAUUAAUGUAUUGUUAUGUUCUCCUAUUGUAGAGAUGCUUGUUCUAAUAAAUAUAUUUAUAAUUAUCAU